rnacentral:rRNA from 1 species
UGAGGAAUAUUGGUCAAUGGGCGGAAGCCUGAACCAGCCAAGUCGCGUGAGGGAAGACGGUCCUAUGGAUUGUAAACCUCUUUUGCAGGGGAGCAAGGCCUGUACGAGUAACAGGUUGGAGAGUACCCUGAGAAAAACGCAAUCGGCUAACUCCGUGCCAGCAGCCGCGGUAAUACGGAGGAUGCGAGCGUUAUCCGGAUUUAUUGGGUUUAAAGGGUGCGUAGCGGGCUGGUAAGUCAGCGGUAAAAUGCGGUGCUCAACGCCGUAAGUGCCGUUGGAACUGCCGGAUCUUGAGUGAGCGAGAAGUAUGCGGAAUGCGUGGUGUAGCGGUGAAAUGCAUAGAUAUCACGCAGAACUCCGAUUGCGAAGGCAGCAUACCGGCGCUCAACUGACGCUGAGGCACGAAAGCGUGGGGAUCGAACAGGAUUAGAUACC